UAUUAAUUAUCGGAAUUUUUAAUUUGUUAUGUAUAUUGUUGCACGACAAUUGUUCCUAUUAGAGCAAAUUGGAUAAGAGUGGAUGGUAAAAGCCAGCCGUCAUCCUUUAGAAACUUGAUCAAGACUGUCCAGUGUUCGUUCAAAUUGUUGAUAAUUAUUGUGGAAAACAACCCAUUUGCAAUUUAACUGCAUCCGUUUUGAUCGUCACUAUCAUGUUUUUAUACACUUACCAAUCCAUACACUCUUACAUAUUUAUCCCAUACAACCCCUUAUAUCAUCUGCAAGAGAACAGUUUGUGGACAGCACGCUGGUUAUAUAAUUACGUAGAACACUCAGUAGGUCCUAUAAAAUCAAAAUACUGUGCAUGUGAGCUUUGGUUGGUAUAUAUACAUGUGUAUAAAGGCAGAAUUGUUAUAAAACAGCUAUUAUAAUGAUAGCAUAUCAAAUUAGCAAGACCUUCCACAUAACUAUGUGUAAAAUACAUGUGAAUAGGGUUUUAGGUUAUCUGCGUCAAUUUAUAGGAAAUAUGGGACUGGAUGAAUUGCGAACUUUUCUGCGCUUCGUUACUGGCAGCUCGACCCAUUGCCCUCACCUGUGCACCAUCCCUGAUUCUAUCCUCAACAUACCCUUCAUACCAAGUGUUUGUUUCUGAGUUCCGAGCUUGUUUGUCAAGCGAGUACUUGUGGAGAAUGGACAGCUAUUGACGUUUGCAAUAUUGAUAACACUGCAUGCAUGUCUGUCAAUGUUUUUUGGCCAUAAUUAUUACCUUUAUGACGAUGUUAUUGUAUUGUAAAGCAUUCAUCGCUGUGAUUUUUGUAUUACUGAGUGAUGUAGGUAUAUAGGUCCAAUAAAAAGCAUGCAAGCUUUGGUCCCAGGAGAAUUGUUAUAUAUAACACCUAUAACUUAUGAAUGCAAAAUUAGCAAGACCUUCUAUACAUGCAUGCAAGUAGUACAUGCAUGUGCUUGCAUUUGUCACAGUGAAGAUAUAAUUAUAUAGUUAUCUGCAUGAGCUUAUGAUUAUCAUGUUGCAAGCAUGCAUGUAAUAAUUAUGAUUGUUCCACAAAUGUUCCACGUUCAAAUGCUAUAUGAAUCAGUAGGUUGUACAUAGGAUUGUAGCAAUUUUUCACAUUGCAAAUGUUUUUCUAUCCGGAUUCAGGUAUAAUUGAAGACGGUGCCACAAGCCAAUGAGAAAUUUGACUCAGACUAACAAACAGCAUCUGUAAAACUAUAUGACAAUAUCUACCAAGUGUAUAUACAGUGGCUACGUACUUGCAACCUAUUCCAGUAUAAUAAUAAUA